rnacentral:rRNA from 1 species
CAAAGAUAGCAAUGGUAAGAGAGCAGAAGUUAAACAAGGUCAAUCGAAAAGACAUCUGAUUGAAAGAAUACAAGAUAGUAUAAAUCUUUGUGAAUAAAAUUGAGUGCGGGAUAGUGGCGGACGGGUGAGUAACGCGUGAACAAUCUGCCCCGUACAAAGGGAUAGCCUCGGGAAACCGGGAUUAAAACCAUAUAACACUUAACUGCCGCAUGGUAAUAAAGUCAAAUCGAGUAAGAGGUAUGGGAUGAGUUCGCGUCUGAUUAGCUAGUUGGUGAGGUAAGGGCUCACCAAGGCGACGAUCAGUAGCCGGCCUGAGAGGGUGAACGGCCACACUGGAACUGAGACACGGUCCAGACUCCUACGGGAGGCAGCAGUGGGGAAUAUUGCACAAUGGAGGGAACUCUGAUGCAGCGACGCCGCGUGAGUGAAGAAGGUCUUCGGAUCGUAAAACUCUGUCCUUGGUGAAGAAAAGGACGGUAGCCAAGGAGGAAGCCCCGGCUAACUACGUG